rnacentral:rRNA from 1 species
AUAUUCUGUAGCAAGGUUAACCGAAUAGGGGAGCCGGAGGGAAACCGAGUCUUAACCGGGCGUUAAGUUGCAGGGUAUAGACCCGAAACCCGGUGAUCUAGCCAUGGGCAGGUUGAAGGUUGGGUAACACUAACUGGAGGACCGAACCGACUAAUGUUGAAAAAUUAGCGGAUGACCUGUGGCUGGGGGUGAAAGGCCAAUCAAACCGGGAGAUAGCUGGUUCUCCCCGAAAGCUAUUUAGGUAGCGCCUCGUGAAUUCAUCUCCGGGGGUAGAGCACUGUUUCGGCUAGGGGGCCAUCCCGGCUUACCAACCCGAUGCAAACUGCGAAUACCGGAGAAUGUUAUCACGGGAGACACACGGCGGGUGCUAACGUCCGUCGUGAAGAGGGAAACAACCCAGACCGCCAGCUAAGGUCCCAAAGUCAUGGUUAAGUGGGAAACGAUGUGGGAAGGCCCAGACAGCCAGGAUGUUGGCUUAGAAGCAGCCAUCAUUUAAAGAAAGCGUAAUAGCUCACUGGUCGAGUCGGCCUGCGCGGAAGAUGUAACGGGGCUAAACCAUGCACCGAAGCUGCGGCAGCGACGCUGAUGCGUUGUUGGGUAGGGGAGCGUUCUGUAAGCCUGCGAAGGUGUGUCGUGAGGCAUGCUGGAGGUAUCAGAAGUGCGAAUGCUGACAUAAGUAACGAUAAAGCGGGUGAAAAGCCCGCUCGCCGGAAGACCAAGGGUUCCUGUCCAACGUUAAUCGGGGCAGGGUGAGUCGACCCCUAAGGCGAGGCCGAAAGGCGUAGUCGAUGGGAAACGGGUUAAUAUUCCCGUACUUGGUGUUACUGCGAAGGGGGGACGGAGAAGGCUAUGUUGGCCGGGCGACGGUUGUCCCGGUUUAAGCGUGUAGGUGUGUGUUCCAGGUAAAUCCGGUUCACUUUAACACUGAGGCGUGAUGACGAGGCACUACGGUGCUGAAGCAACAAAUGCCCUGCUUCCAGGAAAAGCCUCUAAGCAUCAGGUAACAUCAAAUCGUACCCCAAACCGACACAGGUGGUCAGGUAGAGAAUACCAAGGCGCUUGAGAGAACUCGGGUGAAGGAACUAGGCAAAAUGGUGCCGUAACUUCGGGAGAAGGCACGCUGACACGUAGGUGAAGUGAUUUACUCAUGGAGCUGAAGUCAGUCGAAGAUACCAGCUGGCUGCAACUGUUUAUUAAAAACACAGCACUGUGCAAACACGAAAGUGGACGUAUACGGUGUGACGCCUGCCCGGUGCCGGAAGGUUAAUUGAUGGGGUCAGCGCAAGCGAAGCUCCUGAUCGAAGCCCCGGUAAACGGCGGCCGUAACUAUAACGGUCCUAAGGUAGCGAAAUUCCUUGUCGGGUAAGUUCCGACCUGCACGAAUGGCGUAAUGAUGGCCAGGCUGUCUCCACCCGAGACUCAGUGAAAUUGAACUCGCUGUGAAGAUGCAGUGUACCCGCGGCAAGACGGAAAGACCCCGUGAACCUUUACUAUAGCUUGACACUGAACAUUGAGCCUUGAUGUGUAGGAUAGGUGGGAGGCUUUGAAGUGUGGACGCCAGUCUGCAUGGAGCCGGCCUUGAAAUACCACCCUUUAAUGUUUGAUGUUCUAACGUGGACCCGUGAUCCGGGUUGCGGACAGUGUCUGGUGGGUAGUUUGACUGGGGCGGUCUCCUCCUAAAGAGUAACGGAGGAGCACGAAGGUUGGCUAAUCCUGGUCGGACAUCAGGAGGUUAGUGCAAUGGCAUAAGCCAGCUUGACUGCGAGCGUGACGGCGCGAGCAGGUGCGAAAGCAGGUCAUAGUGAUCCGGUGGUUCUGAAUGGAAGGGCCAUCGCUCAACGGAUAAAAGGUACUCCGGGGAUAACAGGCUGAUACCGCCCAAGAGUUCAUAUCGACGGCGGUGUUUGGCACCUCGAUGUCGGCUCAUCACAUCCUGGGGCUGAAGUAGGUCCCAAGGGUAUGGCUGUUCGCCAUUUAAAGUGGUACGCGAGCUGGGUUUAGAACGUCGUGAGACAGUUCGGUCCCUAUCUGCCGUGGGCGCUGGAGAACUGAGGGGGGCUGCUCCUAGUACGAGAGGACCGGAGUGGACGCAUCACUGGUGUUCGGGUUGUCAUGCCAAUGGCACUGCCCGGUAGCUAAAUGCGGAAGAGAUAAGUGCUGAAAGCAUCUAAGCACGAAACUUGCCCCGAGAUGAGUUCUCCCUGAGACUUAGAGUCUCCUGAAGGAACGUUGAAGACGACGACGUUGAUAGGCCGGGUGUGUAAGCGCAGCGAUGCGUUGAGCUAACCGGUACUAAUGAACCGUGAGGCUUAACCUUACAACGCCGAAG